rnacentral:lncRNA from 1 species
UAAAGCAUUCAAGUUUUGCCCAAGCAGAUAUAAUAAGAGGGUACCUAAACAACAAACACAUGGCACACCGCCAGCGGACCUUUAAAAGUUCAACGACAACAGCAAUGACCGGGGACAAAACUAAUAUGUGAUAGUGAAAGUUAUCUAGGUAUCGCAAAAGCAGACACAGGAUUAACCACCAGGCGCAUCAUUUCUUCUUGGCGGCAGCCUUGGUAACCUUGGCGCCGGUCGGGUCCUUCUUCUCCACGCUCUUGAUGACUCCCACAGCAACUGUCUGUCUCAUGUCACGGACAGCGAAGCGACCAAGAGGAGGGUACUCAGAGAAGGUCUCCACCACCAUGGGCUUCGUGGGAAUCAUCUUCACCAUACCAGCAUCACCGUUCUUCAGGAACUUGGGCUCCUUCUCAAGCUCCUUACCGGAUCGCCUGUCGAUCUUGGUAAUGAGCUCAGCAAACUUGACAGCUAUGUGGGAGGUGUGGCAGUCCAGCACUGGGGCGUAGCCGUUGCCGAUCUGCCCAGGGUGGUUCAUGAUGAUGACCUGGGAGGUGAAGCUGGCAGCCUCCUUGGCAGGGUCAUCCUUGGAGUUGGAGGCCACGAACCCACGCUUGAGAUCCUUGACAGCAACGUUCUUCACGUUGAAGCCAACGUUGUCACCAGGAAGGGCCUCCUGGAGAGCCUCGUGGUGCAUCUCAACAGACUUCACCUCAGUAGUCAGGCCAGUUGGACCAAAGGUGACAAGCAUACCAGGCUUGAUGAUACCGGUCUCAACACGGCCAACAGGGACGGUUCCAAUACCACCAAUCUUGUACACAUCCUGAAGGGGGAGACGCAGGGGCUUGUCCGAAGGCCUCUUGGGCUCGUUGAUCUGGUCAAGAGCCUCGAGCAGGGUUGGGCCCUUGUACCAGUCAAGGUUGGUGGACCUCUCAAUCAUGUUGUCACCCUCGAAACCGGAGAUGGGGACGAAGGCAAUCUUGUCAGGGUUGUAACCCACCUUCUUCAGGUAGGAGGAGACUUCCUUAACAAUCUCAUCAUAACGGGCCUUGGAGUACUUGGGAGUGGUGGCGUCCAUCUACGAACAGAUUAUCAAUAAAACAUCAUUAUUAGCUUAACUGAAGAGAUCGCAUGAACAGCAGACAAACUGUAUAUACACAAGAACAGUAUCAAUUAAUGUUAAAUGGUACACAAGAACAGCAGACAACUGUAUAUACAGAAGAACAGCAGUCCAUCUAUAAACAGAAUAGCAACAUAAGAUCAUUAUUAGCUUAUAAUGGAAUAGAUCGCAUGAACAGGAAGCAAACACUAUAUACGGAAAAACAUCACAUCAAUCAAAAUUAACUGCUACACUGCACUUCUUUAGGGAAUAAACUUGUUUAAAGUUGCAUCUCAACAGUAAGAAACAAAUAUAUAAAUAGGUAGAUAAUUAUAUAUCACAGGCGUACCCAAGUUAGCUAGUGAUGGCUAUAACAAACAUAAAGCAAGUACAAAUACAGACCUCAUCAGUUACGUCAUCCUAUCACUAAAUCGUAACACAGCACAUUAUUAAGUAACAAACGAAUCGGUUAAAUGAUGCGACGCAUGUGCUUGCAUUCUAUAUGCAUUACAAGUAUUCCAAUAGCUUCAGAACAUUACUCAAAACAGUUAAACAAGAAACUUAUACCAAGGUUAUCGGGAAAAAAUCUGCCAGAACAUAUAUCAGAUAAUGCAAUUCCAUGAGGGUAAACUGCUACCAUCGAACAUAAAUAUAAACAUUCAAUAGAAGCAAUAGGCACUUGUUGCACUUUGUCAAAUUCAGUAUACAACUCACAUACUACUAUACUAGCAUUGUCAUUGAAACCAAUCCACAACACAAUGAAAGAAAUAGGCAGUACAAAUUGAGUGCAAAACAAAUAAAUCUGGACUAUAGACAUGUGUAUUUAAGAGUCUCUCAGAUCAUUAACCAAAGUGAGAUAAGAAUUUCUGUAUUAUACCUUGUUGCAGCAGCAGAUCAUCUGCUUGACUCCAAGAGUGAAAGCAAGGAGAGCAUGCUCACGGGUCUGGCCAUCCUUGGAGAUACCAGCCUCAAAACCACCAGUGGUGGAGUCAAUGAUGAGGACAGCACAGUCAGCCUGGGAGGUACCAGUGAUCAUGUUCUUGAUGAAGUCACGGUGUCCAGGGGCGUCAAUGACGGUACAGUAGUACUUGGUGGUCUCGAACUUCCACAGGGCAAUAUCAAUGGUGAUACCCCUCUCACGCUCAGCCUUGAGCUUGUCAAGCACCCAUGCAUACUUGAAGGACCGCUUGUUCAUCUCUGCAGCUUCCUUCUCGAACCUCUCGAUCACACGCUUGUCGAUACCUCCAAGCUUGUAGAUCAGGUGGCCGGUGGUGGUCGACUUGCCAGAGUCGACGUGGCCAAUGACCACAAUGUUGAUGUGGGACUUCUCCUUACCCAUGGCUGCAGGUGAAGCUUGAACCGCUGCAUCAGAUGAGUCAAUUGUUAGGAACACUAAACAGAGCAAACGAGCAAGUAUCAGCACAGAAUUCGGAAGCCAGUAAUAUAAAAACUUUUACAAGGCAGUAACAAAACAAUUUUACAGACCAGAUCAGAAACUAGAUCAAACAAGGAUGUUGCAACUAUAUAAAAAUAAACUAUACAGCAAGAUACCCAGCAGCAGCCUCUCAAAAAUAAAGGAAUUACAGCAGCUACCUCUAAACAUCCGAUCCACAAGUAUAACUAACAAAUCAACCUACAGUAUCUAAGCACUUAUCCGGAUCCUGAUGAACCCAUCCAUAAGAAUCAAAUUCUCAAAUCAAGGAACACGCAAAACCCACAAGCACUACGGAAUCGGAGAUGCAAGUAUCAACAACCCAGUCAAAACCAGACUACCAAAUCGCUACUCCCGCCAGCAAUUAAAUCCUCGAAUCAAGCGAUUACGCAAAGUCUAGAAACCCUGCGGAAUUGGAUAUGAGUAUCGACAACCCAAUCACUACCAGACUGACAAAUCGCUACUCGCACGAGCAAUUAAAAAUCCUCAAAUCAAGCGAUAACGCAAAAUCCACAAACCCUACGGAAUCAGAUACGUGAGUAUCAACAGCUGCCCAAUUACUAGGAGGCGACACAUGAGAACAUCGAUCCCAUCGCAACAGCAUCGAGUAGCACAGAUCGAGAAAGGAGGGGCCGCAAAGAAACAGCACCUGAGGAAGCGAAGGAAACGGCGUCGAGAGGAGGAGGAGGAGGAGGCGGAGGCGCAGGUGACGGCGCGCUGGCGACUCGCCGCUCGCGUGCUCGCCCUCGCGUCGCUCGUGCACUCCCGGUCUGCGGCGGCCGACUGCGUCUGGGGGAUUUGCGGAUGGGAUGGAGCUAGGUUUCAAGGAAGUGCGAUAGGGCACCACGAAUGGGCUAUUUGGGCCAGAAAGUCAUCUGAUGACUGAUGGGCUAAAAAUGAGCAAACACAAGCCUUGUUAAGCUGUUAUUAUUCUAGCAUUUGAGGGUUGAGACUACCAAACACACUCGACCAAAAUUGAGUGCUAUUCGGAUAGAGAUGCAACUUCAGGGAAAAGUAAUAAUCCCCUAACCUCUCCAUUAUUAGGCAGUAUAUUUAGUUUACCAUGUUUGCAUAUGUGUUGGCUUCUGAUUUAAGGUACCAUAAGCUAUUUUGCAAUGCUAUUUGGGAUAAAGUGCAUUUUUCACUAUUCAGACAAUCUAAACAAGAUUGCCUGCAUGUUAAGCAUGUCAAGAUUCAAACUUUGCAAUCUUUGAUCAAUAAUUUAACUAUUAAUUUUUUAUUCACAAUAAAUAUACUCUACAAUGAUCAUUCUACAAUGAUCAUAAGUUUAUAACCAUAAACAAUACUCCCUCCGUUUCAAAAUGCAAGUCAUUUUGGUUUUUCUAGAUACAUAGAUUUUGUUAUGUAUCUAGACAUAAUAUAUAUCUAGGUGCAUAGUAAAAAUAAUGUACGUAGAAAAGCCAAAACGACCUACAAUUUUGGAUGGAGAAAAUAUAAUAUAAAAUAAAUGAGUUCUCAAAGUGUUAUUUUGAAAACCAUACCAAAUCAUACUGAACCUUAUAAACAUAGACGGAGGGAAUAUUGUUAAAACAAGCAAUUAUUUGGCAAGGGGGACGAGCUGUUGGAUCAGACCUGAGCAAAUUUAGCCUAGCCCGACCCGUGGCUUUUAUAGGGCUGGCGCCCAUUUUUUAACCCAAAAAAUUGAGUGGACCAAGGCCGGUCUAAUUAUUUUGUUAUUUAUUUUCCAACCGAAAAAAUACCAGGCGGCUCCGCCCGAGCCCGACCCGAAAAGGGUCACAUUUUUUUUGCCCGAAUUAUUUCAGGCUUUUUGCCAAUCCAGCCCGCACUUUGCUCAAUACUAUGUUGGUGUGACAUUCCAAGUAAUUAAGAGCCAAAUCAAGAGAAAUUAAGAAAUAAAUCAAAGAAAAAUCAAAUUGCUAAGUGUUAAACUCAAAGACAAAUCAAAAUUUCUAAAUGUUGAACUCCCUUAAAAUGGGGCUCACUUGGGUAGAAAAUAAAAACAAAUUUUACAUAAGAACUCAAAUUUUGACCAAUAUAAAAGUGGUAGGUCUCUUCAAAUUGAGCAACUUUCAUAAUUGGUACUUUUCUGAUUUUGAGUGGAAGGCGUUCAAAAAUUGGGUUGAAGUUAGGCCAAAAUUUAAGUUUGAUUCAAAACCAGUUUGACCGGCAUUCUACCAAAGUUCCCUCGAUUUUAUCUCCAAAUCCAUCAAGUUUUUCACAUGUCAACCUUAUAGAAGUUGGAGCCUAUAGUUUGAAUUCCAACUUUUGUAUUUGGAGUUUUAACCGUGUAGUUCAAUUUUUGAGAGAAAAUGCGCACAGAAGAUCAGCCCUUCGCGCGCCACACGGGAACGCCAUGUGCGCUAGGCACGGUCACCGCGCCGCCCAACCGCCGGCAUCCCAGCGACAGCACAAGCGCCGUAGCUGGCCAACCCGCGCGCACGCUAUCCUUCCCCCUACAUGCCAUAUUCUAGCCGGCCAAUCGCCGUUCGUGCGCCACGCCGCGCGCUGGCGCACCGCACGGCCGCCGGCCACUCCCGUGCGCCGCCCACUGCUCGUCCACCGCCGAACCACCGCAGCGUUGCCCAAUGCGCAAAGACCCUACGCUGGACGUUCCACUCCCUCUUCCUCCCCUUUGCCGCUAUAAAAAGGGCAACGCCCAUACUCGCCGGCCGCCUACCCGAAACCCCAUCGCCUGCCAUUGCCGCCGCCCCGUGGAGCCCUCACCUCCGGUCACCACCGCCGCCACCUAAGCACGCCAAGUACUGCCCUGACCCUCACUCCACCUUCCUAGCCCUACUCCCGGCCACCACCGUUGCCGCCCUCGCCGGAGCAGAGAUGGAAGCGGCUACCCCGCCACUGCCUCGCUGAGUGCCAGCGCCAGUCGCCCUCCGCCCCCCAAGCCCUACAUCGGACAAGUAUCUGGUGAGCCCCUUAUCACUCUCCCGCCCUUAGCCCACGCCCCCACGAGGGCCCCUCACCGGAAGCCCGAGGACCACAUUACGAACUUGAGUUUUGUCCUAGGCUUCUAAGUGUAAAUAUGUAGGGGUCUUGUUGUGAAAGUUUGAAAACUCUAAGGGUCCUGCUGUAAAAAUGAAAAAUCAGAUUUGAAUAAAAUGCAUUUAAAUGGCUGCAAACUUGGAAAAUGCCUAGAAAAAUAUAUAAAAAUGAUAAAAAGGUGAAACUUGUUUUUUAGUUCCUGAGGAUGUGUAGUUUAUUUCAAAAAUGUUCAUGGGCAUGUUACUAUUGCAUAUCUGAUGCUAUAAUUUAUUUUGUUCUAGACCUGUUAAAUGCCUUAUAAAUUAUCUGAUGAACUAAAAAUUGUGAAACCAAUUUUGUUAGCUUCCAUUUAACAUGUAUGUUCCAGAUCUGCAACUUGUGUUAGUAGAAUCUAUGGUGCUCAUAUUGUUUUAAAUUUAAAUGCUUGAUUGCUGUCUUAAUAUUGUUAUUUGCAUGAUAAUUAGUGGAAAAUAGAUAAAAAUGCAAAGUAAAUUUUGUUAGAUUCUUGAUGCUCAAGUCUGACUAGUAAAAAUAUUUAUCCUUGUGGAAUAUGCAUUUUUGGUUGCUUAACAAAAUGCAUGUUGUUUAUUCUCCUUAUUAUGGAAUAAAUAGUUCUCAUACUUAUAAAAUCCUAAUAAAUUCACAGUAGUCUAUGAUAGUAUUGAAAACCCUCCUGUAAAAUUUGUAUACUUAAAAUGAUGACAGGAAUCUAGUUAUAAAUCAUUCUUGAUAUCUGCAAAAUAACCAUAUUUGAUUUUUAGUAAAUUCGGUGGUUGUCAAAUCCAUCUCAAAUUUUUACAGUAGAUUUCUUGUGUAGGGGGAAAGCUCUUGUAAAUCAUUCAUGUUCAUAUACUAGCAUAUGCUUCCUAAACUUUUAUUCAUGUUAAAAGCUAGUUUAGUUAUGAAUGAUGAUUGCUACUAGGAUUUUAAGCUCACAAGUAAUUAUUUGUGUUCUUUAUCAGUAACAUGAUCACUCCUAAAAAGGUUACUAAACAAUACCAACAUGACACCUACUAUUGUCUUUUGAAUAAUAAGUUUCUAAGAAUUUUAUAUGUGUACACAAUCACCAUCAAAAUAAAUCUAUGUUUUCUUUCUAACCAUGCUUGUUUUGUGAAGAAAAGGAACGGUUAUAAACUUGUCUAGGUGAAUGUGACCAAAAUAAAGAGAAAUGUUAUAAACUUGUCUAGGUGAAUGAAUCUUAUGCAUAUGCAUCUCGUGUAGAAGCUAACCUCGCUGUUGGAACCUACGAGCUCGUCCUGGAGCCUAAAGAAGGACACCCUCCCACUGAGCUAAACCUGAUCGAGACGAACCAAGACCCAAACCAAGAUUUGGAAGAGCCCAAGGCUAACUUAGGACAAGAAGGCAAGCCCAAGAGCAUAACCGUGAUUUCUAAAGUUAUACCAUAUUCUUAUUACUUAUGUUUGUGCAUUAAGUUCAUAGGAGUUGUAUUGAAACCUUAGUUGCAUGCUCCUAGUGCCAAUGUUUUGAAUACUAGCAUGUUAGGUCACGUAGUUGCUAUGCUAAAUAGGGACACGGUAAAAGUCAAGUGAUUUCCUAUCACUCACGAGCUAUAGGAGUUGCCUGUUUACUUUUGUUGGAAUCAUAAGGUUGACGGGCGGGGCUGGGUGCUAUGUUCCUGAAAUGGUUGACGCCCCAUUUGUAUAGAGGAAAAUUGCUAAGGUCAAACCGUGUCGGUGUUCAUGGUCAAGUGUUUGAAUGUACUAAACACAUGCUGAGAGUAUGGGGGAAUCAAUAAGUCUAGUACCUGAUUGAACCGGUGUGGACCUUUUUCCCCGCUCUCUCUAUAACCAGGUUCCUGUAACGCCCGUAAAAUACACCCAGCUAAAUCACCCGUUAAAAAUACUCUCCAAAAUUUUUCCGACCACCGGGCUCCGUCAAAUCCUUUCCCUUCCGUCGGACCCGCUGUCCUGGCCCCGGCCCGUCAAUUCUCCAUUUUCCGCUCCCCGUAAUUUUCGCCGUGUGCCCAUCAAGUCCAACACCGCGCGCAGUCGAAUCCCGCAUUUUCCGCCAUCUUUUUUUCCCCCUCCCUUUCCUCCUCUUUCUCUUCCUUCUUUCUUUUUCCUCCCCUUUCUUUCCCUUCUCCUUUUUCCUUCUCUUUCUUCCUCCUCUCCCUUCCCCUCCCUUCUCUCUCUCCUUUAUUUUUUUCCCCUGCCACCAGCCACUUGCGCCAGGCGCCAGGCCCCCACCCACGCGGCACGCGCGCCGAGGCGCUGGGCCGCGCACGCGCGCCGGGCCGCGCGCCGCCCGCACCCGCCGUCGCGCCGCGCCGCCGCCGCGCCGCCGCGCAGCCGUCGCGCCCGCGCCGCGUCACGUCGCCCGUGCCACGCCCGCUUGCGCCUUGGUGUUUAGCGCUUGGCUCGGUGCGUCGCGUCGUGUCGCCGGUCGCCGGUCACCGCUCCUGUGGCCUCGUUGACCACGCCGCCACGCCAUCCACGAGCUCCACCACUCCGGCACGCCACCGGCCAAAAGUCCGGCCGCCAUCAUUGCCUCGGCCCUCGCCCGCCCGUGCGCCGCCUAUAAAAAGGGGGGGAGCCGAGCCUUCUCCUUCACACCCUCACCACGAGCACCUUGCCUUCCUCCACCACCACCAGAGCGCCGACGGCCAUCCAUCUUUCAACCUCCUGUUGUCUCCAGGAAGAAGAAGGGGUAAAUUCCUCUCCUCGCAAUCCAACCCGCCAAUUUCCCUGAUUCGCGAACAAGUCCUCCCACCAUUCCAAAAAUAAUUACAGAUAGGCCCCUGCUCUCGCGGUUCAGUCCUAAACCCCGUAUUAAAGCCCCAAAUACUCCUUUAAACCGUCAUUUCAUGCACCAAAUUUCCUCCAAUCAAUCCCAAAUUCGACCACGGCCUCCUCUCAUAUAUUUCCGCCGAGGCAUAUCAAAAUUCCAUGAAAAUACCCUGUCUACCUAUUUUCCGUUCAUAUUUCCUGUUCGGAGCUCAACGGGUAAAAUCCUUUUCCUUUUUAUUUAUUGUGUGCUCGUUUGUGUGUGCCGUAGAUCGCGGAGUACCCGAGGAGGAGCGCGAGGAGGAGUUUGACCGCGAGCCCGAGCCCGAGGACCAGUACCGCGAGCAGGAGCUCCCGGAAGGCUUUGAGAACGGAAGUCCAAUCUCACCCUUUGAUGCAUAUUUAAGACCCAGUUUUUCAGACACAACCUUUUGGCCUGUUUUAUAAAAUGCAUAUUGUUUUAUCGCAAGACAUGGUUGGAUAGCCACCCCUUGAUUGUUUUGACUAUUCCUUGUUGUCCCAUAUUUAUCUCUAAAUAUGAGUUGCUCUGUUUAGAUGAUAAAUACUGCUAGAAUGCUUAGGAACUCUUUAUCCAAAUUCAAACAUGACUACACCUGUUUACUCGGAAAAUAAAUGUGUGAGUAUGUUUAACUGAGGAGUUGGGUUUUCGGGUGUAAAGAGAGGUGGUGGAUGAGAUGGAUGGGUGUUUCUUGUGUGGAACGCCGGGUUGUUGGGCUUGUACCUCAGUGGUUGAGCAAAGUGGGAGAUAUCCAUCUUGUCAUGGCUAAGGACCGAGUUGAUGUGUCAUCCUGCCUAAUUCCAUCAUCGUACAACCACUCGACCGUUGUAUGGGCAACGGCUUAGCAUAAAUCCCACUAGCUAAACUGCUAGGCUUCAGGUGUGCUGGUGAGCAAUGGGAGGCCUUGGAAAAGGGCUAAGCUCUUGGUGACUUAGGUCCCGAUUUCGGCCCCGUGGAUGGGUUGCUAACCCCUUGAGCGCUUCCGUGUUGACUAGUCAGUGUCGGCUAAGGUGGGUAAUGGCUUUGUUAGGAUCCGUACCGACACUAAGGUGAUCGCGAUACGGUACCCUACUUGUGGGAAAAGUGUACAACCUCUGCAGAGUUAAAACCUAUCCGGGUAGCCGUGUCCACGGCAUUGGACGAGUUACGGCUCGGUCACACAACUAGCUUUUGGGGAUGACUGGUAUUUUUGCUGCGUGUGUGGGGGUGUGUGGAAUUUUGGAAGUGUCCGGCAGGGGUGCCGUGCGCUACGGCGGACGGGGAGUCCGGUAGCGAUAAAACUUGGAUCCUUUGUGUAGGAUCAACCCCACUUGAUAUGUUGUUUACUAAAAUGUUUUUUCAUUAAACCGCUUGAAAUGGAACCCCGCAUGUGUCUAAAAAUUCAGCUUUACUGCAAAUAAACCAUAGCUUAUUCCUUGAUUAUUCAUAUGCAUAUUCUUGUUGUAUCCCCUUCCGUGGAUGGGGUUGGACUUGCUGAGUACUUUUGUACUCACCCUUGUGUUGUUUCUUCAGAGGAGGAUCCGGACUUCGUCGCCGAGGACUUCGAGUAGGAGGUUGCGUCUGCACCCAACGCUGCCUGCGGUGUUGGCCCUUUUGCAGGAUGCUUCCGCUGACGCUUAGCUCCGAUUGCAGCCCGGAGUCCGACUGGACUGCAACUUGGAUUUGUGUUGUUAUCGCUUUAGUCUUGCUUUGGGUGUGGCUUGCCCGCCCGCUCCUUCGGGAGCUGUACGGUUUCUGAACUAUCUGUUGAAUAAAUGUGUUAUCAGCCUCCUGGGACUGAUAAAUUGGAUCACAUUUAGUCUCUACUUAUGUGGGGACGCUUCAGUUCCCUUGGUGCAUCAUGUGGGUAUAAGUGCGGCCACAGCACGACGUCAUUUCGGGGACUGGUGGGGCCUUGUAUCCAAGGAAGUGGGCUUUGGACAAGCGUCAUGGAUCGAUGGGAACCGUUGAUAAUAUGUGAACCUGUCAUGGUGCACAUAUGCCGUGUGUUUAGAUCCACCUUGCAAGGUUAAGAAAUUCGAUUCGAAUCGUCUGCUUCUCAUAGUUUGGGACUACUUGAUCAUUAUGCUGCAUUGAGUAAGAAGAUGAACAAUGAUGAUGCUUAAUAUUGAUGCUUGACGCUUGUUCUACCAUGUUUGCUUAGAAUAGGUGCUUAUCUAGAAUGGUUAAUCAACUAGAACUUGAUGCUAAAACUUGAAAGUAAGGAUCCACUUUAGAAGCUUUUGGCAAAAACAAACCCCUCAGCCAAAAAGCCUUGCAUGUAUAGGAGUUGGUGGAUUAGAUGCCACCUGACGGGUAAGUCUUGCGGAGUAUUAGUAUACUCAACCUUGUUGUGGCUAUGUUUUCAGGUAAUGAUGUUGAUGAUGUGGUUGCUAGUGUGACUUGGUCGUACCAGCUCCCUCCGGGAUGAACGGUUGAGUGGGACCCGUCCUCGGUGGGCGAGGAUCGUGGUGAGUGAUGUCAUGGAUGGGUUCACCAUGAUACUAUGUACUGUCGUUAGACUAUCGUUUCACCGUGAUACCAUUUGAACUCUGAACUACUUUAUGAUUUGAACUCAGUUUGUAAUAAAUAAUUUGAGACGUCUGUAAUGUUACAUCUGGAUUGUUGUAAUCUCUGGGCCCGUCUUCUUACGAGUACUGUAUGCUUGUUUUGAUUGGAAAUACAUGGUUGUAUCAGGUGAAACCAGAUAGACUACCAUUUUGAUCCGAUUAAAGUGUCUGUUCGUAUUUGAGGUGAUAUUUAGUACACUUUAGCCGGGUUAUUUUGGGUGGUUCUGCCACAACUGGAUUGGAGUAGGGCCUAUCUCUAUUUUUCUAUGUGCAUAUAGAAGGCAUGUCAUUAACUGCCAAAAUUAAUCCUUGUUAUUUUUAGAAGAAUGUUGGAUUUUUUUUGGGAGGGGGGUUUUAAAAUACAUGAUUUUUUGAUCCUUGUUAUUAACUGUUUUGAUUGGAAAUACAUGGUUGUAUCAGGUGAAACCCGAUAGACUACCAUUUUGAUCCGAUUAAAGUGUCUGUUCGUAUUUGAGGUGAUAUUUAGUACACUUUAGCCGGGUUAAUUUAGGUGGUUCUGCCACAGCUGAAUUGGAGUAGGGCCUAUCUCUAUUUUUCUAUGUGCAUAUAGAAGGCAUGUCAUUAACUGCCAAAAUUAAUCCUUGUGGGGGGGGGGGGGGGGGUUUAAAAUUUUAAUUGGGAACCUUGAAACUUACCAUCAAGAGUGUGCGCCUCUUCAGUCUUCAGGUGGUAUCGUGUUUCCAUGAGUGGGAAGAAUUCGGAGUCUUUUGCAAUUUACUCUUUUCAGAUUGUAACUUGAUAAGAAGUUGGGACUGAAAAGAAUAACAGCUAGGUGGUAUUCACUGUUCAGACGACCUUUUCCGCAUGUAGAGUAUGUUUCAAUUAUUCUUCUAUCAUUUUGCUGUUGCAUAUGGACAUGUUUCAUACUACCCUCUAUUAGACUAACAAUUAUGAGUUUCACAAAUAACAAUUUUAAAUUCACCAAUUCCAUCCACUUAAAAGUUGGGACCCAGAAAAUAAAAAAAUAAAAAAAACGUUUUAAUUUCCAUUGGAAUAGAAAAGGUGUCAUGCUCCCUAAAUAAGGCAGAAGCAACUGCACGUAUAACCUAAGCCAAUAUCACCCUACCACCCUCGCACGUUAGAUAUAGGGGGUGUUUGGGAGAGGGGUGCUAAACUUUAGCACCCCCACUUUAGUCCAUUUAGUCACUUGUGCUACCAAACAGGUGAGCUAAAAUUGGUGGACUAAAUUUUAGGCCCCCACUAAUCCCUUAGUCACUUGGGGUAGCUAAAAUAGACUAAACGGACUAAAAAGUGGUCCCCCGGACCACUUUCCGCCUGCCUCCUCCCCUCUCUCUCUCCUCCCCUCAGUCUCUCUCUCCCCGCUCCUUCGCCCGAACCGCCGCCUCCACCUCGCUUGCCGCCGCCUCCGCCACCUCCGGCCGGCCCCGCCCGCCCCCGCGGCCUCCGCCCCACCCCCGGAGAUCCGCCUGUAGUCCCACCGCACGGCUUCUGCGACGGCCUGCGCGUGGCCGCCGGUGAGGGCCUGGGCCCUGCGGAGCUUGGCGCGAAGGGCGGCAGCCGCGACCAUGAGCGGCAUCGCGGACUGCAAGAGCAUCCAUGGUGCGAUGAGAGGAACAGGUGGUGCUCCUACGUAUGAGAGGGUUCAGGGUCUUGAGGAAGGCCAUGGCCGUACAUCCUCCAGCCCCGGGCGCGGGGAGCCUUCGCCGCCGCUGCCGCUCGAGUACUACGGCCCGAGGGCAGCCGCCGCCGCGGCACCGUCCGAGUACAUGGUCGCCUCCGCGUCCUCCACGCCGUGCAUCACCUCGCCGCCGUCGCGGCGCUGGCCGGCGUCCUGGAGGGGCAGCUAUGUAGGGGUAAAAGGGUCAUUUGGCAUAGCAUGUGCUAAACUUUAGCACCUCUCCCAAACACCCUCAAAGGCUAAAGUUGAGCACUUUUUUUGAGAGGGCUAAAAUUUAGUUCAGGAUUAAAUUUUAGCACCCUCCUCCCAAACAGGGUCGUAUACGAAGUGUUGCAAAGCGUUAACUAGCUAGUAGCCCCUGGACAAGGACAACACUGGGGUCAAACACUCACACACUGAUACACUGCAAUAUUUUACUCGUACAAAUCAAAAUGAGCGCUGAAAUUCGAAACGUAAUAGCCACACAACUGCCAAUAAUACUUCAACAUCUACUUAACCAAUGAAUUAGAUGACAACUUCAGUGGCUGCGACAGAUUUCGGGUACAUACACUGCGUGCCGCAAUAGCAAAUGCUUAGGGGGUGUUUGGGAGAGGGUUGCUAAACUUUAGCACCCUCACUUUAGUCCAUUUUAGUCACUUGUGCUCCUAAACAGGUGAGCUAAAACUGGUGGACUAAAUUUUAACCCCCACUAAUCCUUUAGUCACUUGGGGUAGCUAAAAAGGACUAAAUGGACUAAAAAGUGGUCCCCCGGACCACUUUCCCCCUACCCCCCUCCCCUCUCUCUCCUUCCCCAAGUCUCUCUCGCUCUCCCCGCCUCCUUUGCCCGAACCGCCGCCUCCAACUCACCUGGCCGCCUCCGCCUCGCCGCCAUCCUUCUCCGUCCGACCGCCGCCUCCGCCUCCGACUCCGACUCGCCUGGCUGCCGCCUCCGCCUCGCCCGCCGCCUCCGCCUCGCUGCCGCCGCCUCCGUAUCCGGCCAGCCCCGCCGCCGUCGCCCACCCCCGCGGCCUCGCCUCGCCGGCCACCACGGCGUCGCCGGACCUGUCGCUGCACAUCAGCCUGCCGAGCAGCGCGCCCGGGGCCGGACCAUUCGGCGGGCGCGCCGCGGUAGGGGGAGUAGACGGAGUAGGAGUAGGAGGCGCGGGGGGAGACCCGUGGCGGAGGCUGAACGGGUCCACGGUGUCGACGGAGCUGUCGCUGUCGCUGCCGGCCGAGCAGGACCAUGCGGGCGCGCGCCCUCUGGCGGCAUCGCCCGUCGGCGACGGCCACGCCCUCCGUGGCCACCACGUCGGCGGGCGCGGUCAAGCGAUUGCCGGCGGAGGAGGGGGCGCGUCGUUGGCGAACAAGGCCGGAAUCCGAGGAAUACCUGUCCGCCAUGCUGCUGCUCGCCGCCGUGCGGCACUAGCUGGCGAUGGAGGGGCUGAGGAGGAACAAGGCCGGAAUCCGAGGAAUACCUGUCCGCCGUGCUGCUGCUCGCCGCCGUGCGGCACUGGCUGGCGAUGGAGGGGCUGAGGAGGAGCGGGUGGCGAUCCGGAGGGGCAGCUAUGCAGGGGUAAAAGGGUCAUUUGGCACAGCAGGUGCUAAACUUUAACCUCCCUCCCAAACACCCCAAGGCUAAGUUUAAGGCUAAGUUUAGCAGGCUAAGUUUAGCGCUCUUUUUGAGAGGGCUAAAAUUUAGUUCAGGACUAAAUUUUAGCACCUUCCUCCUAAACAGGACCUUAAUUGAACAGUGAAGACGACCAUGCCAAUAACAAAUAGGUAUUAAAGCAUUCAAGUUUUGCCCAAGCAGAUAUAAUAAGAGGGUACCUAAACAACAAACACAUGGCACACCGCCAGCGGACCUUUAAAAGUUCAACGACAACAGCAAUGACCGGGGACAAAACUAAUAUGUGAUAGUGAAAGUUAUCUAGGUAUCGCAAAAGCAGACACAGGAUUAGAGCAACUCCAAGAGAAUGCUAAUCUUACCCCCAAUAUCUUUUUUAGGAAAAAAGAGAGAAAAAAUGAACUCCAACAAUCCACCUAAACCUUCCCCAAUUUUUUAGCAACGCUAAAAAACAGCCUGCCACCGUGUAUAUUUUAGCGUUGGCGUUCCUCCCCCAAUCCUGAUUCCCGCACGCCCACGCGUCCCUUCCGAUGGGCCCAAUACGAUGACG